GUCGAGGACAUGGGUAGCCCCAGUCACCUCGCCCGGAGGUGCAACAGUCGAGAAGCACCCUGGUCGCGGGUGUAGGAGGUCCACAGUUUACAAUGGCCCCGACCUACGGUGUUUCGUUGUUACUUCCAGUGUGCAAACCAACCACAGAGAUCGCAUGGCAGUGCGGAUAAAUGUGAAGCAAUGUGAGGUAGACCGCAUUCCAUCCCCUGCACUGUGGUAGGCUGAAGGAUUUGAUCCAGACUCGACCGGACUUUGCCAGCUAAAGCACUGUAUCUGCAGAGAUCAUUGUCGCCAUUCAAAAAUCUCAAAACACAAUUGCAUUCGAGGGGAUGCUCCUCUAUCAGCAUUCACAAAAUAACACAAAUUUAAGUGCCAACCGUCCUGAAUGUGAAUUCUUGACCGAUAUUUAUUAUCAACAUGAUCAUAUCUCACUAUUUACAAACGUUAUUUUUGCCAUGCAAAAACAUCAGUGUCACAGCGUCUUAUUUGGCAUUCACAUCCAAAUUAUUUCCAGCACUCAUCAUUACUGAUAAUGGUCGUCUCACAGCAGUUACAGAGUGGCAUGUUUUAAUAAACAGCGUUCGUGUGAAUUUUUAUGUCUCGGCAUUCAUAUACAAAUGUUGUCCAACAUUAUUGCAUAAUUGUCGAUGUCUAAAAAAUAAAAUAAAUAAAUAACUGGCGUCAACGCUUGUCUCUGAACUUUGACGUGUUAAAUGUUUUGAUGCACAAUAGCCUGUGCAUCUUUUUCAGCAUUCACGGUAUAGAAUCGGCAUCAGUAUUCAUCUCCCACCAUUCACAAAAUGAAAAUGCUUGUUUCUCAGCAUUCAGAUGCAAAUUAUUUCCAGUAUGCAGUAUUACUGGCAAUGGGUGUCUCUCGGCAUUUGUGUCGGUUAUCUCUCAGCAUUCACCUUUUUUUGGAGGCACACUUGCAUGAAUAGGAAUGCUAUCCCGUCUGAAUUUACAUUUGUGCUAUGAAACCUGGCACAUUGCCUUGGGAAAGGCACAUUAUAACAUUAAUAAUUAAAGUCUUUCGCUUUCUUCCAGCGCCUCUUUUUUUUUUUUUUUAAAGAGCCUGCAGGACAUUGAAGUUAACUGUUUCUAUAAAAUGCUCAAACCUGCUUUCUUUGUUAAACGUCUCCAAUUGCAGCUAUUAAUAUUUA